rnacentral:snoRNA from 1 species
GCACCUUACUUGAACAUGAUCUGUUCUAUAGGCUCGCACCAUUGUGUCCUUGAGUUCCAAUGAUACUUACUAUCAACCACGUCGUCCCUAGGA